GUGGGGAAUUUUGGACAAUGGGCGAAAGCCUGAUCCAGCAAUGCCGCGUGUGUGAAGAAGGCCUUCGGGUUGUAAAGCACUUUUGGCGGGGAAGAAACAGUGCGUGCUAAUACCAUGCGCGUAUGACGGUACCUGCAGAAUAAGCACCGGCUAACUACGUGCCAGCAGCCGCGGUAAUACGUAGGGUGCAAGCGUUAAUCGGAAUUACUGGGCGUAAAGCGUGCGCAGGCGGCUUUGUAAGACGGAUGUGAAAGCCCCGGGCUCAACCUGGGAAGUGCAUUCGUGACUGCAAGGCUAGAGUGUGUCAGAGGGAGGUGGAAUUCCACGUGUAGCAGUGAAAUGCGUAGAGAUGCGGAGGAACACCGAUGGCGAAGGCAGCCUCCUGGGAUAACACUGACGCUCAGGCACGAAAGCGUGGGGAGCAAACAGGAUUAGAGACCCGUGUAGUCC
rnacentral:rRNA from 1 species